CGCCCCUCCCCAAGGGGCUCCACCCGCCAGCCCUGGCAGGCUUCUCCGUGACCUUUCUGUCCAAGGUGGCAGGACAGCGCUGGCUGGUUCCAAUUUCAUGACUUCAUUGCAGUGACUAAGUGAGUCUUUUUCAGCCUCAAGUUCCAUACAUCAUCGAAGAAGCAGGAAAUGCUACCAAGGCAAGAAAACAAGGCAGCAUGCAUUACUGUGCAGACCGAAAGCCCGUGAGAGAGUGAAAUCUGUUGCAAGGUUCUGCUGGAUAUUCUCUGAAAAGCUGGCUGACCUGUGCAUUUUACCAUGCUUCCACCUACUCUCCAAGGUAACUCUGAAUAUGGGACAUGAUAAAAAGAUGAGGAAAAUAAGGGACCAGAGAGAUUAAACAUCUUGUCUAUGGUUGCACAGCUGUUGACUGCAAUUGUUUUCUAUAUCUUCUCACAUUGGAACCCAGCUUCAUGGAGCAGCCACUGUCCAAGUCAAACCAGUCAGUGGAAUAGAGGGAAAGAGAACUUUGGGGGUCUUGAACAAAUAAGGAAAUGCUCUAGCUUGGAAUGACAUUUUACACAUCUACUGUGACUCACUAACCAGCAGAAGUCAAAGGGUACAGUUGCAUCAGGAAGUGUGUCCAGAGGAUGGAGAACCAAAAACAUGGCAAAUGGUACUAAU